ensembl:lncRNA
AGCUGUAGUCCCGCGACCCCGCUGCGGCCCGGGGCGCCGCGAGGAGGCGAACUACAGCCCCCGGCGCGCCCCCCGCCAGCGGGGAGCAGCCGGCGAGACGGCGCGUGCGCGCUCCGCCCGACGGAGUUUCCGUUACUUUCCUCUCCCGUGGCGGUGGUAGCCCGGAGCCGCUAACGGGACGGCUCGGCGUCCGCAGCCGCCCGCGCCUCGCCUCUCCUCUCCUCUCCUCUCCUCAGCGUCCCCCUCGGCUCCCGCCGUGCCGCGAGCCCACAUCAGUCUCAGAGCUUGUUUUUGCCGCGGAGAGCUUUCCCUACUGAACCCAGCUGCACUUUACUAAUUGCUAUCUCCUAUAGCUGCCGGAUGCCAGGAAAUAUGGCUGCAAGAGCUGAGCCUCAGAAAGCACAGGCUUCAUCCAUGCCGCUGCUGCCAGCUGUGCUCCCAGACCUCAGCAGAUGGCACUGUCACAUCAGCCCGGGCGCAGGAGAGAAGCAGCUCACAGAUUGUGUUUUCACAGCCACAUUCUUGGCAUCAGCUUACAAGGGUGCUGACUCAGCAGUAAGACUGUCAGCUGCAGCGAGUCCAUCUGUCCACCGGGCAGCGGAGCCACCAGCUUUUCUAGGAAAUCUGUGGAUCUGGUUCAAAGGUCUGCAAAUGGACAAAUGGCUCUGCUUCCCUGCUAUUAGCCUCACAGGCACUUUGAAUGCUUACCAAACUGCGCUUUCAGGAUGUGGUGUCUCAGAAUGAGGCUGAAGAGCAGCAAGAGGAUCGCUCCUCCUCCUUACUUUAUUUCUGCCUUCAUUUUGACUUUUUUUUUUCCUUUUGGUUGCAUAGAAUCAUAGAAUCACAGAAUAUCCUAAGUUGGAAGGGACCUGUAAGGAUCAUCGAGUCCAACUCCUGGCUCCGCACAGAACCAUCUAAAAAUGAGCCCGUGUAACUGAGAGUUCCUGUAGACACUCCUUGUACUUGCCCAGGACUGGGGCCGUGCCCACCACCCUGGGGAGCCUGUGCCAGUAGACACUGGUGCCAGUAGGCCCACCCACUGGUGAAGAACCUUUCUCUGAUAGCCAACCUGAACCUCCUCUGAGGUUUGCCUGAGCAUUAAGAGUAAUGUAAUAAUUGGAGACUUUCCGUGGAAUUUCUGUGAUGCAAAGGUCAGAUGUUUUGUACGAGAGUGCAGGCAAGGACAGUGAUACCGUCUGACCUAAAGGACUCCUGUGCCGAGAAGCUCGCCUGCUUGUUUUCAUCAUUUUAAUUGGCUUGUUGCGUUAUUUCACCUCGGCACGUAUUUUGCUUCGUAGAACCAUAGAACCGCUUGAGUUGAAACCCUUAAAGGCCAUCUGGUCCAGCUCCCCCGCAAUGAACAGGGACACCUACAGCUAAGUCAGGCCGCUCAGAGCCCCGUCCAGCCCGACCCCUCCGAGCCUCCUGGCGGGGCCGCGGCCGGGAGGAGCCCGGUGCUGCCGCGGCCACCUCCCUCACUCCCUCCCUCUCUCCUUCCCUCCCGCCCAGCCUCCGGCGCUGCUUCCCCUGCACUGCCCGUCUCCUCC